rnacentral:rRNA from 1 species
UACAUGGGGUGCAAACGUUGCUCGGAAUUAUUGGGCGUAAAGCGCACGUAGGCGGUUUGUUAAGUCGGAUGUGAAAUCCCUCGGCUUAACCAAGGAAGUGCAUCCGAAACUGCAGAGCUUGAGUACUUAAGAGGAUCGCGGAAUUCCCGGUGUAGAGGUGAAAUUCGUAGAUAUCUGGAGGAACACCGGUGGCGAAGGCGGCAUCCUGGACCGACACUGACGCUGAGGAGCGAAAGCCAGGGGAGCAAACGGG